rfam:Nicotiana attenuata strain TT scaffold03259, whole genome shotgun sequence.
UGGACAGAUUAUUGUAUUCAACUGUAUUCACGGUGUGAAACAGGGGAUUACACUAUUUUUAAACGGAAAAGUGAAUCAAUUAACAUAAUAGACUCCU